UACGGGGGGAGCAAGCGUUGUUCGGAUUUACUGGGCGUAAAGGGCGCGUAGGCGGUCGUGACAAGUCACUUGUGAAAUCUCCGGGCUUAACUCGGAACGGUCAAGUGAUACUGUCGGACUAGAGUACAGAAGGGGGCAACUGGGAAUUCUCGGUGUAGCGGUGAAAUGCGUAGAUAUCGAGAGGAACACCUGCGGCGAAGGCGGGUUGCUGGGCUGAUACUGACGCUGAGGCGCGAAAGCCAGGGGAGCGAACGGG
rnacentral:rRNA from 1 species